rnacentral:rRNA from 1 species
GACGAACGCUGGCGGCGUGCUUAACACAUGCAAGUCGAGCGGUAGGGCCCUUUCGGGGGUACACGAGCGGCGAACGGGUGAGUAACACGUGGGUGACCUGCCCUCAGCUCUGGGAUAAGCCUGGGAAACCGGGUCUAAUACCGGAUAUGACUCCAUGACGCAUGUUGUGGGGUGGAAAGCCUUGUGCGGCUGAGGAUGGGCCCGCGGCCUAUCAGCUUGUUGGUGGGGUGAUGGCCUACCAAGGCGACGACGGGUAGCCGGCCUGAGAGGGCGACCGGCCACACUGGGACUGAGACACGGCCCAGACUCCUACGGGAGGCAGCAGUGGGGAAUCUUGCGCAAUGGGCGAAAGCCUGACGCAGCGACGCCGCGUGAGGGA